GAUGAAGAACGCAGCGAAAUGCGAUAAGUAAUGUGAAUUGCAGAAUUCAGUGAAUCAUCGAAUCUUUGAACGCACCUUGCACCCUUUGGACUGCUCCAAAGGGUAUGCUCGUUUGAGUGUCAUUGUACUCUCACACUCUCUGAUCCUUUGGAUUUGGGGAGCAGUGGACUUGGGUGCUUGCUGCUUCCUUGUGGCUCACCUGAAAUGCAUCAGUGCAUCUCUCGAUUGGACAUAGUACGGCGUGAUAAGUGUCUUCGCCGGCACCUCAUAUGAGGGUGGCCGAUCGGGAGCUCUGUGCUUUCAAACCGUCUUCGGACAACGCUGACAACUUGACCUCAAAUCGAGUAAGACUACCCGCUGAACUUAAGCAUAUCAAUAAGCGGAGGA
rnacentral:misc_RNA from 1 species